rnacentral:rRNA from 1 species
GUGGGGAAUUUUGGACAAUGGGCGCAAGCCUGAUCCAGCCAUUCCGCGUGCAGGAUGAAGGCCUUCGGGUUGUAAACUGCUUUUGUACGGAACGAAAAGCCUCUGGUUAAUACCCGGGGGUCAUGACGGUACCGUAAGAAUAAGCACCGGCUAACUACGUGCCAGCAGCCGCGGUAAUACGUAGGGUGCAAGCGUUAAUCGGAAUUACUGGGCGUAAAGCGUGCGCAGGCGGUUUUGUAAGACAGGCGUGAAAUCCCCGGGCUCAACCUGGGAAUUGCGCUUGUGACUGCAAGGCUGGAGUGCGGCAGAGGGGGAUGGAAUUCCGCGUGUAGCAGUGAAAUGCGUAGAUAUGCGGAGGAACACCGAUGGCGAAGGCAAUCCCCUGGGCCUGCACUGACGCUCAUGCACGAAAGCGUGGGGAGCAAACAGGAUUAGAUACCCGUGUAGUCC